UGAGGAAUAUUGGUCAAUGGGCGCGAGCCUGAACCAGCCAAGUAGCGUGCAGGAUGACGGCCCUAUGGGUUGUAAACUGCUUUUGUAUGGGGAUAAAGUCAAUCACGUGUGAUUGUUUGCAGGUACCAUACGAAUAAGGACCGGCUAAUUCCGUGCCAGCAGCCGCGGUAAUACGGAAGGUCCGGGCGUUAUCCGGAUUUAUUGGGUUUAAAGGGAGCGUAGGCCGGAGAUUAAGUGUGUUGUGAAAUGUAGACGCUCAACGUCUGACUUGCAGCGCAUACUGGUUUCCUUGAGUACGCACAACGUUGGCGGAAUUCGUCGUGUAGCGGUGAAAUGCUUAGAUAUGACGAAGAACUCCGAUUGCGAAGGCAGCUGACGGGAGCGCAACUGACGCUUAAGCUCGAAGGUGCGGGUAUCGAACAGGAUUAGAUACCCUGGUAGUCCGCACAGUAAACGAUGGAUGCCCGCUGUUGGUACCUGGUAUCAGCGGCUAAGCGAAAGCAUUAAGCAUCCCACCUGGGGAGUACGCCGGCCGG
rnacentral:rRNA from 1 species